AGCCACCUCCAGCAGAGCUCCGUACCCAGAACUCAAGCAUACACCCCAGGACUACUUCAUGGGAGCCACGCUUACAAACCCAGCCGCCAUCCUGAGCAUCUAAACCUUCAUUUCCCUUGGAACACACGGGAUGGCAUCACCUCCCCAGACACACACACACACCCCAGGCGUGACAGAGGAAAGCGGCAUCGAGGCAUUGUGGCAGCCCUAGGCAAAAGGAAUCUUAAGAAAGCGCAUCUUGCCAACACAGCAGCACUGGGAGGACGUUGCCUGUGGUCAGCAGUAAGAGUGAAACUGAGUAUCUACAGCCAGUUCCCAGCAGAGAAAAUCUGAGCAAAGCCACGUCUAUAAUUCACUUUCUUAAUGUGAGACCAGCAAAAAGACCGAAACGCUACAUGGGGGCUGUGUCUGAGCAGGGAGCAGUGUCCUGCUAUUGCCACCUCGUGGGCCCUUGCAGCAAUAACCAGGUAACCGAACACGUUUCCACUGAUAGAUGCAUCCAGUCCCUAGAAGUCUGGAUCCUUUUCUCAUCUGUUUCAUGGUGAAAGGCUCCUGUAAACUUCAGAGGGAAUUUGGUCAUCUAUUUCACUGCUCAAUUUUAACUUAGUUUUAAACCAGGUUCUUUUGUGUUAGGAGAAAUAUGGAC